GUGGAUUGGCGCGUGCUAUACAUGCAGUCGAGCGCGGGAAGCCGGCGGACUCCUUCGGGAGGAAACCGGUGGACCGAGCGGCGGACGGGUGAGUAACACGUGGGCAACCUGCCGGACUGAUGGGAAUAACCCCGGGAAACCGGGGCUAAUGCCCAAUACGCCCUGACCUCGCCUGAGGUCAGCGGUAAAGCAGGGAUCUUCGGAUCCUUGCACAGUCCGAUGGGCCCGCGGCGCAUUAGCUAGUUGGAGAGGUAAGGGCUCCCCAAGGCGACGAUGCGUAGCCGACCUGAGAGGGUGAUCGGCCACACUGGGACUGAGACACGGCCCAGACUCCUACGGGAGGCAGCAGUAGGGAAUCAUCCGCAAUGGGCGAAAGCCUGACGGUGCAACGCCGCGUGAGUGAUGAAGGUUUUCGGAUCGUAAAGCUCUGUUGACAGGGAAGAACCCACGCCAGUCGAACAGGCUGGCGUGCUGACGGUACCUGUCCAGAAAGCCCCGGCUAACUACGUGCCAGCAGCCGCGGUAAUACGUAGGGGGCAAGCGUUGUCCGGAAUUAUUGGGCGUAAAGGGCACGCAGGCGGUUUCGUCAGUCCGAUGUGACAGGCCACGGCUCAACCGUGGAAGGCCAUUGGAAACUGCGAAACUUGAGGACAGAAGAGGAGAGUGGAAUUCCACGUGUAGCGGUGAAAUGCGUAGAUAUGUGGAGGAACACCAGUGGCGAAGGCGACUCUCUGGUCUGUACCUGACGCUGAGGUGCGAAAGCAUGGGGAGCAAACAGGAUUAGAUACCCUGGUAGUCCAUGCCGUAAACGCUGAGUGCUAGGUGUUAGGGGUUUCGAUACCCGUAGUGCCGAAGCUAACGCAUUAAGCACUCCGCCUGGGGAGUACGACCGCAAGGUUGAAACUCAAAGGAAUUGACGGGGGCCCGCACAAGCGGUGGAGCAUGUGGUUUAAUUCGACGCAACGCGAAGAACCUUACCAGAUCUUGACAUCUUCCGCUACGCCUCGAGAGAGGCGGUUCCCCUUCGGGGGACGGAAUGACAGUGUGCAUGGUUGUCGUCAGCUCGUGUCGUGAGAUGUUGGGUAGUCCCGCACGAGCGCAACCCCUUAAUCUAGUGCAGCAUCCAGUUGGGCACUCUAGUGACUGCUGGUGAACAACCGGAGAGUUGGAUGACGUCAUCAUCAUGCCUAUGAUCUGCUACACGUGCUACAUGAUGGUUACACGGGAUUGCGAAUCCUCGC
rnacentral:rRNA from 1 species